rnacentral:rRNA from 1 species
UACAGAGGUGGCAAGCGUUGUUCGGAAUUACUGGGCGUAAAGGGCGCGUAGGCGGUCAGGUCAGUCCCGUGUGAAAUCCCUCGGCUCAACUGAGGAACUGCACGGGAAACUGCCUGGCUUGAGUUCGGGAGAGGGAAGCGGAAUUCCGGGUGUAGCGGUGAAAUGCGUAGAUAUCUGGAGGAACACCGGUGGCGAAGGCGGCGUCCUGGACCAACACUGACACUGAUGAGCGAAAGCCAGGGGAGCAAACGGG